rnacentral:rRNA from 1 species
AAUGGGCGAAAGCCUGACGCAGCGACGCCGCGUGAGCGAUGACGGCCUUCGGGUUGUAAAGCUCUGUGGGGAGAGAAGAAUAAGGGUUGGCUAACAUCCAGCUCGAUGACGGUAUCUCCUUAGCAAGCACCGGCUAACUCUGUGCCAGCAGCCGCGGUAAGACAGAGGGUGCAAACGUUGUUCGGAAUCACUGGGCGUAAAGCGCGUGUAGGCGGUCCUGCAAGUCGGAUGUGAAAUCCCACGGCUCAACCAUGGAAGUGCAUUCGAAACUGCUUGACUAGAGUCCUGGAGAGGAAGGUGGAAUACUCGGUGUAGAGGUGAAAUUCGUAGAUAUCGAGUGGAACAUCGGUGGCGAAGGCGGCCUUCUGGACAGUGACUGACGCUGAAACGCGAAAGCGUGGGGAGCAAA